CUACGGGGCGCAGCAGGGAAGAAUAUUGUACAAUGGGGGAAACCCUGAUACAGCAACGCCGCGUGAAGGAAGAAGGCCUUCGGGUUGUAAACUUCUGUGACGGGGGACGAACAAAAUGACGGUACCCCGAGAGGAAGCUCCGGCAAACUACGUGCCAGCAGCCGCGGUAAUACGUAGGGGGCGAGCGUUGUCCGGAAUCACUGGGCGUAAAGGGCGCGUAGGCGGCCUGUUAAGUUGAAUGUGAAAUCCCGGGGCUCAACCCCGGACGUGCAUUCAAAACUGGCGGGCUUGAGUAUGGUAGAGGCAAGUGGAAUUCCUAGUGUAGCGGUGGAAUGCGUAGAUAUUAGGAGGAACACCAGUGGCGAAGGCGACUUGCUGGGCCAAAACUGACGCUGAGGCGCGAAAGCGUGGGGAGCAAACAGGAUUAGAUACCCUUGUAGUC
rnacentral:rRNA from 1 species